GGAGUCGGCCAGGCAACCGCGGCGGGUCUUUGACCCGCGGAGGAAAGUCCGGGCUCCGAAGGGCAGGGUGCCAGGUAACGCCUGGGGGGCGUGAGCCUACGGAAAGUGCAACAGAAAGCAUACCGCCUAAGCAUCCUCACGGAUGCCGGUAAGGUUGAAAUGGUGCGGUAAGAGCGCACCGCGCGAGUGGUAACACUUCGCGGCUAGGUAAACCCCACCCGGAGCAAGACCAAAUAGGGGAGCGAUCGGCUUCGGCCGUAGAUGUGGCCCGCAUUCGUUCCCGGGUAGGUCGCUUGAGGUACGCGGUGACGCGUAUCCCAGAUGAAUGGUUGUCCAAGACAAAACCCGGCUUAUCGGCCGACUCCCACC
rnacentral:RNase_P_RNA from 1 species